UUAACGUCGAUGAAGGCGCAUUAGGGUGAAUGAAGUGGAUUAAGGUGCAUAAAGGAGGGCUAGGUUGGGUUAAGGUCGAUGAAGGUGUAUUAGGGUGGAUGAAGGUGCGUUGAGGUGCAUUAAGGACGAUUAUAGUGGAUUAGGGUGGGAUAAAGUGCAUGAAGGAUAAGGGUUGAUUAAGAAGGAUUAAUGUCUAUUAAGGAGGAUUACGGUGGGCUAGGGUGAAUUAGAGUGAAUGAAGGAGGAUUAGGGUGCAUUAAGGAGGAUUAGGGUGUACUAAGGAAGAUUAAUGUAGAUUCGGGUGGAUUAAGGUGAAUUAAGGACGAUUCUAGUGGAUUAGGGUGGAUUAAGGUGAAUGAGGGAGCAUUAUGGUUGAUUAAGGAGGAUUAAAGUGCAUUAAGGAUGCUUUGAGUAGAUUAAGGUCGAUGAAGGUGGAUUAGGGUGCAUUAAGGAGUAGUUUCGUGGAUUGGGUGGAUCAAAGUGAAUGAAGGAAGAUUAAGGUCGAUGAAUGUGGAUUCGGUGGAUUAACGUGCAUUAGGAGUAUUAUGCUAGACUAAUCGGCCUUAAUACUCAGUGAACCCUAAUUCAGCUUAGUACACUCUAAUCCACCUUAAUACAACCUAAUCAACCUACAUCGCCCCUAAUGCACCUUAGCCUAUCCUAUAUGGUCUUAAUCCUCCUUUAUCAAUACUAAUCCAUCAUAAUCCGCCUUAAUCCACCUUCAUACACCUUAAUGCUUAUUCAUGCACCUUAAUCCAAUUUAAUCCUGCUUAAUAGUCCCAAUCUACCUUAAUACACCCUAAUCCACCUCUAUCAAACAUAAUCCAGCUCCAUGGUCCCUAAUCCACCUUAAUCUACCCUAAUCCAUCCUAGUCGGUCUUAAUCCUCCUUUAUCAACCCUAAUUCACCUUAAUCCACAUGAAUCGGCCUUAAUAUUCUUUUACCCACCUUAAUCCUCCCUAAUCCUCGUUCAUGCACCCUAAUCCAGCCUAAUCGGUUUUAAUACCCUUUCAUCAAGCCUUCACCUUAAUACACCAUAAUCCGCCUUAGUCCUCCUCUACCCACCUUAACCUUUAUUCAUGCAUCUUAAUCUUUCUUAAUGCACUCUAAUCAACCCUAAUCCUCCCUAAUCCACCUUAUGUCAAUCACUAAUGAUUCAUUAAUUAACUUGGGUAAUCAUUCUCUUAUACAGGGGUGGACAUGCUUUGGGUCUCCUCUGGCCUUCCUUGGGUCACGUGAAACUUCCAGUUUACAACGCGACCUUGACACACAGAGAUCUAAAGGCUUUCGCCUUAAAAAUAAAAAAAAAAUUCAAUGUUGACAAGCUAACGCUCAUCACCUGCAAUACCACGGGUAUACUUGCCACUAAAUUUUUCAGGGCGCAAAGCAGAAUCUAUAAUGCUGCACUUCCAACUGAAUAACAACAGCGACGUGCGAGGUGAUGGAGCCGCCCCAGAAUAUUAAGCAUACUGAGGACAACCGCAAUAAGAAACGCUGGUGAGCAGUCCGGAAGAAUGAAAAAAAAAUGCAGCAUUACGGGAUGCUUUGCUACGAGCUAUAAGAAAGAAGCCUCAGAUCGCAAACAACGCUGUUCUCUGUCGGAACAAAGUUCUUUCGGCCAAUGGCAUGCAGCCUCUGCUUCCUGCGCAAGCCGUCACGCUUUCCUUGUGGAAUCAAAAAACGGCAUAACCAUCUUGAGGCUUUUUGCUGCAGUUAUAUGUGCAAAAGCACGACAUGGCGCUAGCACAUAGAGCAGGAAACAUAGCGUACAACGCUCGCUACGCCGAGCUAAAGCGCCGAGCCAGCCGUGCUCAGGAGGAAAAUGGCGCGAACGAAAAAGAAAAACACAAGCAAAACUCAAGAUCCGCGCGUUUCCAAGGGCAACGGCAGGGAGACCAAUCGUCGUGCUGAAAAACGGGGGCAAAACUGGUUGCCGCCGGGGGAACGCACAAGGGGCGAGGAGGAGGCGAGGAGGUCACGCGGCGGCGGCAGAGUUCAAAGCGUGUCGCUACUUUCAAACUAUCAAGGGACUUUAGCCCCGAUCCCGGCCGGCGACGCCACGGCAGCGUUUCAUAGUUUGUGCGCAUGGCUCGUGCUGUGCUUGCUUUCCUAAACGACAAAAAUGCAGGCGCUGGACUGUGAUGGUGCAAACAUUACAAUCGUCCGUAGCCCGAUGAGAGCGCUGGCGUCUCAGCAUCGUGCUGGCCACGUAUACAGAAGGAGCACGUAAACACACGGCAGAAAGAUGGCUCCAAAGCGUGCAGUCAGCGUCGAGGACACUCGGCCCCGAAAGAAGCGUCGCGCAGGACAGGAGCGUCUUCGCUACGCAGCGAAAUGUUGUACAGACAGCGAAUGUAUGUAUAGAAGGGGUAACGAAAGAUGAACUUUCCCACGAACCAGGCCACAACGUAAAAGAGGCAACGUCGACGACUGGCGUAACGAGGUGCCGGGCAGCUGCAUUUCUCAAAUGCGGAAAAACGCGCCGUGUAACAAGGCCUACCUACCACCACACCCAGAGACCUCCUGUUAUUGUCGCCUCCCCACCUCCGAGCCAUCCACAGAUUCUUGGAGUUUGUGGAGGCGACCGGGAUCACCGCCCUACCGAUAAGCCCACUCACCCCGCCGGCCGCUGCCUUCGCCACCUUCAUCAUCGGCAUUCUCCAUGAACGGACGAGACUCGUGCUGCUUUUCCUUCCCUUCAUCUUUAUUUCCCACUUCCCCUACGCCGUGCUCCCUAUUGGGCUGCAGAAAUAAGCGUCAUUUCCCACAUUAAACCACUACUACUACUACUUAUAUAAAUAGAGACUUGUAGGUUGAGGACGCACGUACGAAAAAGACGAUGCUGUAUUUCCUACGUUUCGGUCGGGGUGCGGCAUUCGUCAGGGAAUACAUGUUUAAACGUAGAAAAUAAAGCAUCGUUUCUUUUUUUUUUUUUUUCGUACGUGCGUCUUCAACCUACAAGUGCCUGUUCAACUACCGGAUCCUUUCACCUUAUAUAUAUAGUGCAACUGACGGUGGUCCUUGCACUUCACUCCUCCAAGAAGCAGGGCGUGUGUAGAGUGGGCUCCCGAACAACACUUUGUAAUGUGGUGAACGCGGUUCAAAUCGUGGAUUAGGUACCUGAAAGAGGUGCGACGUAAUCUUAACGCAUUUCUCUUACAUUUACCGCUAAAUCGCCGCUGACGUUUCUUUUUCUUUUUCAUGCGUAAGCAUUUCUAUGCCUACCCAAACAUUAAACCUGUCCGCCACGUAAGACAAGCCACUGUAAAGAAAAUAAUGUAUAAAACAUUGUUGCUAUGAAGUUUUUGAUGAAAUAUUUGGUGAUGGUGGAAUAAAAGCCACCUCUAGAACCAGAUGUUGAGCAGACUUGGUGCAUUGUAGACAUCGGGAAAAUUCCGAUUUUGCGAAAAUUUUAUGCCAAACACUCCCCAUCCCUGAUGCGUUUCGGUGGUCGCGGGAUGUGCCUUCUGUUGGGGCGUUCCUUCACCGACCAAUAUGCCACCGAUAUCUGAGGGCUCAUGUGCUUCACGUCACGCAACACAGACCGAUAAGCGGUCAAUACUUGGUAAGGAAGACAAGGAGUGAUGAGGGGUUAUAUGGAUCUCAUCACGGUUGACAGUGGUUCGACGCGGAUGCAUAAGGUGCUAAAGAACGAAAAGGGGUUAGAAUGGUUGGAUCAAUUAGGAUAAUGUUAAUAAGCCUUGAUAAAGGUUGGUAAUGGGCGGAUAAAGUCCGAUAAAGUUGACAAGGACCGAUAAGAGUUGAUACCGGUCGGAUAAUGUCCGAUAAGGUUGAUAAGGACGGGUAAUGGUUGAUGAGGAUCGGAUCGAUAGCGUUAAGUUUGAUAAUGACCGAUAAGGGUUGAUAAGGAUGGGAUCAAAUGCGAUAACUGAUAAUAACCGAUCAGGGUUGAUAAGGGUCGGACUUCGUCCGAUAAGUUUGAUAACGACUGGAUAAGUGUUGAUAAGCUUUAUACUGCUCGGAUCAAGUUUCACAUCACUGAUAAUGACACCGAGCUGCGGGGAGAUGAGCACAAUGCUUGCGCACACUUACACAACUCCCAGAGGGUUUUGCGCGUGAACUUCUUUAAAGGGACACUAAAGGUUACUAUGGAGUCAAGUUAAAGUGAUAAACCAAUGCUCUAGAACGUCUAAGGCGUCAAUAUAAUCGCAAACAGAGCUUUAGUAAACAAAAAAUUGAGGUAAAUGCAUGACACGAGUUGAGACCCCCCAGCGACAUUCUGGUACUAGCCAGAUGACGAAGGCAAUCCACAUCAUAACUUGUCACUAGUACUCAAAUACUCGUAUUAAAAAGAU